rnacentral:rRNA from 1 species
UACAGAGGUCUCGAGCGUUGUUCGGAUUCAUUGGGCGUAAAGGGUGCGUAGGCGGCGUGGCAAGUCUGAUGUGAAAUCCCGGGGCUCAACUCCGGAACUGCAUUGGAUACUGCCAUGCUAGAGUACUGGAGAGGAGACUGGAAUUUACGGUGUAGCAGUGAAAUGCGUAGAGAUCGUAAGGAAGACCAGUGGCGAAGGCGAGUCUCUGGACAGUUACUGACGCUGAGGCACGAAGGCCAGGGGAGCAAACGGG